rnacentral:rRNA from 1 species
CGCAUCUGUGCAUGCAGCAUAUCAAUAGCGGAGGAAAAGAAACUAACAAGGAUUCCCCUAGUAACGGCGAGUGAAGCGGGAAGAGCUCAAAUUUGAAAUCUUAAAGGGUUUCCCUUUACGAAUUGUAGUUUAAAGAAGUGUUUUCUGUUGAGGUUUUGGUAAAAGUUCUUUGGAAUAGGACAUCAUAGAGGGUGAGAAUCCCGUAUUUGACCUUUACUUUCAACUUUGUGAUACACUUUCAAAGAGUCGGAUUGUUUGGGAAUGCAGUCCAAAAUGGGUGGUAAAUUUCAUCUAAAGCUAAAUAUUGGCGAGAGACCGAUAGCGAACAAGUACCGUGAGGGAAAGAUGAAAAGGAACUUUGAAAAGAGAGUUAAACAGUACGUGAAAUUGUCAAAAGGGAAGCGUUUGACACCAGUGUUGUUUUUCUGAAAAUCAAUUAAAGAACUGUUUAUGCUAAGCUGUUUAGACUUUAUCAGCUAACUGUUUAGUUUUGAGCUUUUCUUUAAUGCACUUUUCAGUUAACAAGUCAACAUCAAUUUCUUUUGCUGUAAAAAAGCUUGAGGAAGGUGGCUUGAGAUUCGUCUUAAGUGUUUAUAGCCUCUUGCCUAUGCAGUCGGAGAGAUUGAGGUCUGCAGCGUAGAUCCUUCGGGGCUAAAUGCAUUUGUGCUAAGUUAUAGCAUUUUAUAGACAACUUGUUGACUAUGAUUUGUCUUGUAGCUUACUCGCUUAUGUUAUUUUACCUACGCUUAGGAUGUUGACAGCAGUAUAGACUGU